rnacentral:rRNA from 1 species
UACAGAGGGGGCUAGCGUUAUUCGGAAUUCUUGGGCGUAAAGGGCGCGUAGGCGGCUUUGCGUGUCUUCCGUGAAAUCCCUCGGCUUAACUGAGGACGUGCGGAAGAAACUGCAGGGCUCGAGUCCGGGAGAGGGGGGUGGAAUUCCCAGUGUAGCGGUGAAAUGCGUAGAUAUUGGGAGGAACACCGGUGGCGAAGGCGGCCCCCUGGACCGGUACUGACGCUGAGGUGCGAAAGCGUGGGGAGCAAACAGG